GGGGAGCAAGUGCACAGUGACUCCUGUUGUUGAUUUAACAAUUGACACUCUUAUUUAUGACAUCAUUCUAAGGAAGGAGCCACUUCUGAGUUUACUAGUGUGGUGUCUGGCCAGCCUCAGAUCCUCAUGGGUGACCGUGAGACAUCACCACCUGGAGACAGGUGAUGCUCCAGGUCAUCCCGGCACCUUCCCAGCUACUGUCAUCACUUGGCCAUCCACGGGGAUCUGCCUGGCCUGGGGCUGCGAAUCUCCAGAAUUAGAACAAGGCAUUUGGACAGCGUGGAAAGGUCCCUGGGAGAGCCAAUCAGAAUUUACAGGGGCCAAUUCAAAUGGAAAAGACAUGGCCAAGUCAGGAAUUAUUGCGCUAAGAGGUUUACUGCAGUGUAGAGGAGGUGAAAAUGGUACCUGCAACAUUUCACUCCAUGAAAACACCACAACCACCAUCGAAGGAAGAGUAAAGUGAACCAAGAGAGAAUGGAUUCCUUAAGAUGUUCCAAGUGCAGCAGCACUUCAGCUACCAGACAAUAAUAAAUCGGGAAUGACAGAGAAUGCUGACCA
rnacentral:lncRNA from 1 species